rnacentral:lncRNA from 1 species
CGAAACGAAUUUCGAAAAAUCGAAAACAUUCACUUUAUUAGCACAUCUAACGUAGUUCCGUCUGUUGCACUUGGGAAAUCCAUUGCCUGUGACCUACAAGAACUCGAAGAAGGUAAAUUAAUGUACGACGCGCAUUUUAAUGAGAACAUUUUGGUAAAGUCACCUGUAUUAUGCGUGUUAGCGGACAAUCCACGGGCAUCAGAAUUCGAACAUCACUUGGGAAGCUGUGCAAACAAAUUUUGUAGAAAGUGUAAAGCAACAUCUGAUAAUGGAACAGAAAUUCAAGAAAUACGAAGUGAUGAAUACGUUCAAGAGAAGAUCCAUGAAAUACAAGAUUGUCCAACUGAAAACCAGAAAAAAAUUAAAAGAAGUGAAUGCGGAGUAACAGAACAAGGCGGAGCGUUCGACAAGCUGAAGUGCUUUCGUGGAAAUAACAAAACUCCUAUUGAAAUACUGCAUACAAUUCUACUUGGGCCUGUUAAGUAUAUGCUAUCCAACACAAUUC